UGCAGGGAGAAAACACAGCUACAAACGUAUAUUAGAGUAGAAGUUACUGUAUUUUAGCGCAAGUGUAUUAAUUAAGAUGUCAGAGGGAGUCUAUGAAAACUCAGAUGGAUUUGAAGACAACAAACCUAAUGCAAUAAAGAACACAGACAUUGAUGGCCAUUUAUAUGGCAACGUAACAGCCUUCAAACCCAGUCCAAGAGAUGGAGUUGUUGCUUCAGAGCCUGAUAGCUCAGGAAAGAGACCCUUCCUAGUUGUUGCAGUGUGUCUGGGGCUGCUGUGUGUUCUACUGGCUGGGAUCAUAGGCCUGUCUGUCUACU